CGUGAUGCCACACCGAAGACGGCUGAUGGCGCUAGGCUUAAUUGACCUUCCAAAGACGGCGGUGUUUUGCGCGUGCGCCUUGGGUAGGGGAGGUAAUCUCUUCCUAGGAGCGCGCUCCUGUCAAUGACGCCUGUUCGAUUGCCUGAGCCCACUCCGCGCUUCCGGCGCGAUUUUCUGCGGCGAAUCCCGUGAGAAGAACAUGAACUCACAGCCAUCAAGACCUGACAGUUCCCUGCAGUGAGAGCUCAGCACAUGUCUACAGAAGCAAGUCUGGCAUCUGGAAGAAAGAAGAAAAAGGACACUGAUAGUUAUAAUAUUGCCUGCAGUUUGCUGGAGCCAUGAAACAGCCAAUACCUGCAGGGUGUUAUUCCCUGACAGCACAUUUGGAGAGAAACAAACUGCAGGAUACUCUUGUCCAAGCAGGCAGUUACUUUCCUUCCCCUGAGAGAGCUUUGAGGUACUUCUUGGAGUAAUUUUGCUAAUCCUGGCUGCAGCCAAGGCUUCCCUGCAGUGUAAUGGAGUUCUCUGUGCCUGAGCUGGUUCUGUCCCACUGACCCCCAUCAUACAAUGUGCUGAUGGGGCUUUGUUGAUAUCAGCACUAAAUUCCUGUGGGGCAUCUGCUGUGACUACAGGGAGAGACAGAUCUGCUUGAGCAAACACAGGUUGUCAGCAACACUCAGCAACCUGUCCCAAGUUCGGUGUUGAGCCAGAGAUUGAACUGAAGACAUUUGGAGGCCCUUCCCCCCUGACUGAUCCUCUGCUAAUCCCCCGUUUUUUCUGGGCACAAGGACUGCUCCAUGAGCUGAUGAAGCACAGGAAAAGUAACCUGCUCCUACUCUCACCUAUCCAACUGCCACAGCAAGGCUUGGGCUCCUGCAGCUGGUCAGACAGCCCUGCCAGGGCAUAUAAAUAUAAGGGAGAACCAUUUGGGAUUAUCUCCUGAGAAGAGUCUGUUCUUUGGCUGAUUUGAUAACCAGAAAUUGGCACUUGCAUCUGCCUGGAGUUGUGUGGUAUUACAGCUUCAGUGGACACCUACUUUCUCAAAGCUCCAAAACAUUUGCUGCCAUUUUCAAUACUCAAAGCUUUUAGUUCUGUAAAAUUCUAGCAGCGCUGUUUGCCAGUUAUUAUCAAGCCUCCCUCCUUGUUUGGUUUCCCCUCAUGGUGCUGCUGAGAAAUGGUGGAAUAUAGGUACAGUCCCAGUUCAUGCCAGCUACAUCUUCACUGCUUUUCAGUGCCAAAGGGUCCCUUAGGCAAGUACAAAUUCUGCUAGAUGCUCCUUGAUGCUCAGUCACACUAAGCAAAGUUUGUCCCUGCUCACAGCUAUGCUGUAAAUAUGUUGCCUCAUGACAACUGCAGUUUAUGAGGUUUCAGACCAGCCCUCUGCAAAUGGUAACCUCAAAGGGACAACAGCAGUCACAGAUGUAUCACUGCAGUGUAAACAAUUCAUACAGAAAAAGCCUUCCCUAAAACAGAAAGAUCAAGCAUUCAAAUGUUUCUCCCAGCACAUGGAAAUGAAGUUUAAGAUCUACAUUAAAAAGCAAUUGAAGAAACCAGAUCAACUAUUUUAUUUAGUACUAAUGCAGAGUUUAUCCUGAUAAUAUGAUGAAGCAUAACCACUUCAAACAGGUGAGGUUUCAUGGAGCUCUCCACUCUUGGAAGUGUCUGCAUCCUAACACCAUUGCCCAGUGCAAAGCCAAACUCUUGCUAUUUACUGGGAUUUAAAAGGGACUCACAAAGCUCCAGCUGCAUGUAGCACCCCACUGCAAAACCCACCUGCAUUUACCACAUGAUGUUUUAUCUCUGCCAGGGCAGUCAGAUUUCAGUGUUUUCUGUAUACAGAUUCUAGAAGUGUCUAUCACCACAGUACUUCACAACUGAUCUGGUUUUUUACCUUGCAGGCUUGGAGAUUUCAUGUGUCGAGAUGAUCUAGCUGAGGUAACAAGUGGCUUGGAUGUUCAAAGAGUUCUUGCUAAUGUCCCUCAUAAAAGCUGAAGUAAACUGCUAUGAAAUACAAGAACAUUUAAUCAGUUACUGACUACAGUAAUAAAAAGUGGGAGGAUAACUGUGUGCUCCCCAGAGUGACUCCUGUUUGGACUUGUAGAUUUAUUAAAAGCUUAAAUAGAA